GCGAGCCACCGACACCCCGGGCGACUGCGGCUCUGCGUCCCUGGUCGGUCCCUCCGUGGAUCCAGCUUGCUGCGGGCGCCGGCGAGAGAUCAGCCCCCACGCGCAGGCGGAGGGAGAGGCCAUAGGGCACGUACAGGGGAGAGGCGCGACGACACGAGGCAGAGCUUGGUGCGGUGCGGGCAACGGUACCUCAGCUAACCGGUAUUUUUAAUUGCAUGCAUCUCCACCACACUGCUACAAUUUCCCUGGGGUGUCACUAAGAGCAAGGCGAGCAAACACAAAGACAGCUGAGGUAUUUCUGAUUUCUACAUCUUCUACUACUCUCAUUGGAUUCUAUGGGCACCAUGAUUACCAUAUAGUCAGUCUGUCGGUGUAGCCUGCUUAGUUAUAAAUGAAAUUUUCGUGGAGACAUUACCCUUUUUUUGGUUAAAGGUGAUAAUGAAUCUGUAGUCAUUUGAAAUCAUAUGUAACACUUUAAGCCAGUCAUUUUUCAUAUUUUUAUUCAUUACUGGUAUGAGAAUGUGCAGUAAGGCAUUAGGUUUAAAUGAGAUGCCUCAAAAGAGAGAGACAGACGUUAAUUCAGAAGCAUAUAUGGCUCAUUAUUUCUGAUAACUACUUACUACACACAUCUACGAUGUAUCCUGUUCUACUUUGCGAAUGACUGCAAUUGGUCUCUUGUCGAUCUAACAGGAAAACAUAAUUUAUGAAUCUCUGAUGCUGUGCAGCUCUCAUAAUUAUUCAGUGCCUUGGAUAUUGAUUUGAGCAGGGUAUAGCAAGCCUGAAGAAAGAAACCCAGGAAAUAAUAUACUUGAUUUUGCUCUUCAUAAUGAUAUACUGACUCUUUGCAACCCCGGUAAUUGAAAUUUCAGAGCCUUCCCCAUAUUGUACAAAAUGUGCAAACCAUGCUAUUUGAAGACAACUGUUUCAGAGGUUAUUAUUUCGAGCAACAUAACCAAAAACAGUCUCUUAUUCUAACCAUGCUAUUUGAAUUUAGCAGGGGAUUGGCUGUACUUUCUAUUUUGACUCUACAUCUUACUGUGUCCUCUACAAAAAUAAAGAGUUUUACUAACAACUGUGGAUUUGUUUGGUUUACACAUUUACUAGGCGUCAUUUAAACUUACAUGUAUCUGAUGUAAACAAAUGAAGAUUGCUGGGGAACAAAUGAUUGAAGCAUCCUACAAUCUUCAAUAAUUUCAGAUAAGUGACCACCUGCAUGGACCUUGCCCAUUUUCAGCUUAUUCACUGUUGUUGCAAAUCACUGCAGACUUUCUGCUACUCCAUUAUCCACCUUGAGACUGUGCAGCCUUAACGUAAGCAUCUCUUAUAGCAUGCAUCUCAAUCAUUGCAUCCCUUAUCGGUAUCCGCUCUCUAGGUUGUUUCUUUGAGCAUGAUAUUCCAAGUGCAACAACAGAAAACAAGCAAUUCUGAAUUCGACUUCUUGAAGUGCUGUUAUAGAUAUCUAUAUGCAUGCUCAUUGUAGGAUCAACUAGCUCCCAUAUUCUCUCUGGAAGGGCAUCCUCUGCAAACGUGUGCAAAUCCAAUGAACCUCGGAACAUAUCAUCUGUUGGGCUCCUUCCUGUAAACAUCUCAAGCAGCAAUAUGCCGAGGCUAUAAACAUCACCAAGAGUUGAUACGGAAGAACCUUCACCAUAUUCUGCAAUUGUGCAAAAAAAUAUGAUUAGUAUACUGUGUUUGAUGUUUAUAUAUGGAGGGAUAAUGAAUAAAGAUCAAUAACCUGGAGCAACAUAACCAAUGGAACCUCUUAUUCCAAUUGUGCUACUCGAAUUUUGUAGGGAUUUGCUAUCACUUUCUAGAAGGAUUCUUGAUAUACCAAAGUCUCCAACUCGGGCACUCAUGUCUUCUGCAAGAAGGAUAUUGCUUGGCUUGAGAUCGCAGUGAAUGAUUGGUGGUUGACAGCGAUUAUGAAGCAGGUGAUGAUCUUUAGAAGACAACGGUGGCGCACCCUUCUCAGUGCCUCACAUUCAGCCAUAAAACUUCUAGUAGAUCCAGAUUGUUCAAGAUUAAAAACCUUUACGGCAGUAAUAGUUCCAUCACCUUCAAGAGUGCAUUUAUAGACAGACCCAAAGCUUCCUUUACCAAGCAAAUUGGCUUCUGAAAAUCCAUUGGUUCCAUUUGCUAAUGCGUGAUAAGAAAUUCUUGCAAACUGGUCAUCAACUCUUUGUGGUUGAAAUGGGCUCUUCUGCUUUUGUUGUAGCUUCUUACGGAACAAAUGAGUGAGUACAACAACAAAAGCUAAUAAUAAGAGUGCACUGGUUACUGCAAGAGCUAGGGUGAGAGACUUCAUGUGUCCUCUUCUGUUCUUUUUCACAGAGUUUGUCUGACAUGGUGCUAGAUGAAGCUGAGGAAUUCCACCACAAAGCUUAUUAUUUCCAGUGACUGACAUGUUCACAAAGUUUGUGAAAAUUCCUCCUUUUGGCACUUCUCCUUGCAGAUUGUUGAAGGACAGAUCCAACACUGACAAUGAUGUCAAAUUCUGCAGAGCUGAUGGGAUGGGCCCUGACAAGUUGUUGUGUGCCAGAUACAGUCGUUGCAGGUUGCGGAUGCUACCAAUGGCAUCAGGAAUCUUACCAGACAGGUUAUUCAUAGACAAUUUCAGCUCAUUGAGACCCUUCAGAUUACUGAGAGAUUGAGGUAUGCUUCCCUCAAAUGAGUUAUUGUCCAACCAAAGUCGUUGCAGAAUGGUGCAGUCCCCAAUACCAUCAGGUAUCACACCAGACAAUUGGUUUCCAGAUAAGAAAAGGUUGUUAAGAUUUCCCAAGCUACCAACUUCAGACGGAAGUGGUCCUGAGAGUGAAUUAUACGAUAAGUCCAAGUUACUUGAAAGGACUGGUAGGUUGAAAAUGUCUUUGGGAAUUGAACCAUUCAGGCGGUUCAUCGACAGAUCAAGGGCUAACAGAUUCUUUAACUUCCCUAUGCUUGAUGGAAUUGGUCCCUCCAAGUUGCAACGGUGUGCAUCAAGAAAAGUCAACAUUGAGAUAUUUCCAAUAGAUGAAGGUAUUUGCCCUGACAGGUUAGUGUU